rnacentral:rRNA from 1 species
UACGAAGGGGGCUAGCGUUGCUCGGAAUCACUGGGCGUAAAGCGCACGUAGGCGGCUUUUUAAGUCAGGGGUGAAAUCCCGGAGCUCAACUCCGGAACUGCCUUUGAUACUGAAAAGCUUGAGUUCGGGAGAGGUGAGUGGAACUGCGAGUGUAGAGGUGAAAUUCGUAGAUAUCGCAAGAACACCAGUGGCGAAGGCGGCUCACUGGCCCGAUACUGACGCUGAGGUGCGAAAGCGUGGGGAGCAAACAGG